rnacentral:rRNA from 1 species
GACGAACGCUGGCGGCGUGCUUAACACAUGCAAGUCGAACGGAAAGGCCCUGCUUUUGUGGGGUGCUCGAGUGGCGAACGGGUGAGUAACACGUGAGUAACCUGCCCUUGACUUUGGGAUAACUUCAGGAAACUGGGGCUAAUACCGGAUAGGAGCUCCUGCUGCAUGGUGGGGGUUGGAAAGUUUCGGCGGUUGGGGAUGGACUCGCGGCUUAUCAGCUUGUUGGUGGGGUAGUGGCUUACCAAGGCUUUGACGGGUAGCCGGCCUGAGAGGGUGACCGGGCACAUGGGUACUGCGGUAGGGCCCAGACGGCUACGGUAGGCAGCAGGGGGGAACAUUGCACAAUGGGCGGAAGCGUGAGGCAGCAACGCCGCGUGCGGGAUGACGGCCUGCGGGUUGUAAACCGCUUUCGCCUGUGACGAAGCGGGAGUGACGGUAAUGGAUAAAGAAGCACCGGCUAACUACGUG